UACGAAGGGUGCAAGCGUUACUCGGAAUUACUGGGCGUAAAGGGUGCGUAGGUGGUCGUUUAAGUCCGUUGUGAAAUCCCUGGGCUCAACCUGGGAAUGGCAGUGGAUACUGGACGGCUAGAAUGCGGUAGAGGGUAGUGGAAUUCCUGGUGUAGCGGUGAAAUGCGUAGAUAUCAGGAGGAACACCUGUGGUGUAGACGGCUUUCUGGACCAUAGCUGACGCUGAGACACGAAAGCGUGGGUAGCAAACAGG
rnacentral:rRNA from 1 species